rnacentral:lncRNA from 1 species
CUGCUGUGUGUUGGCUUAAAAUCUCUCUCCUUCAGGGCAGCUGAGCAGCUUUGCAUCAGCUGACUGACUGACCCUCUUGCACAGCUUGGUGUGCAUAGAGGCUUGGGGAUUUUGAGGGCUGGUGCUAAAGAAAGCUUGUUAAACGCUGACAGCCAGCAUGAUGUCGCACAAGACAUGAGAAAAGACAGCAGGAAAAUUCAGAAGGAACGUAACUAAGGACGUGUCCUCCACGGUAACCAGACAGCAGAUAAAAGUGGCAAAUUCCUGUGACUCGCAUCAGCUUGGUAUUCUCUGGUUAUUCAAGGACUAAGUUCUGUUUCACUGAGUCCAAUUGCAAAGUUUCCGUUUGCCCUCAGAUUCAGCGUCUUGGAUUCAUAAACGCAAUAUUCAUCGAAAGUGGGGGAGCCAGCUAACUUAUAUCAAGGCAGUAUUAUUGCCGCUGGUUUCCAAAAGGGAGAGGGCACUAUCAAGAAUAUCCAGUUACUAUUGUUGUUGCUAAA